AUCCUCAGGUUCAUAAGUGUGAUGAUUGGGUGUUCAUGCUCCAUGCAUGACAUGUGCCUCUUUUGAACCUUGUUACGACCUCGGCACAUUACCCAUCUGAUA
rnacentral:snoRNA from 1 species